AUUGAACGCUGGCGGCGUGCCUAACACAUGCAAGUCGAGCGGUAACAGGUGUAGCAAUACAUGCUGACGAGCGGCGGACGGGUGAGUAACGCUUGGGAAUCUGCCUAUUAGUGGGGGACAACCCGGGGAAACUCGGGCUAAUACCGCAUACGCUCUACGGAGGAAAGCCGGGGACCGCAAGGCCUGGCGCUAAUAGAUGAGCCCAAGUCGGAUUAGCUAGUUGGUAGGGUAAUGGCCUACCAAGGCGACGAUCCGUAACUGGUCUGAGAGGACGACCAGUCACACCGGAACUGAGACACGGUCCGGACUCCUACGGGAGGCAGCAGUGGGGAAUAUUGGACAAUGGGCGAAAGCCUGAUCCAGCGACGCCGCGUGGGUGAAGAAGGCCUGCGGGUUGUAAAGCCCUUUCAGUGGGGAAGAAAAGCCUGACCUAACACGUCGGGGUCUUGACGUAACCCAUAGAAGAAGCACCGGCUAACUCUGUGCCAGCAGCCGCCGCGGU
rnacentral:rRNA from 1 species